rnacentral:rRNA from 1 species
GCCCAGCACUUAUUCUGAGACNUCCUUACGGUCACGAAAAGCGAGGACUGUAUGCCCUCGCACUCGGGGUCCCCUUAUNGCACUGGCGUGCAGUGUAAAGGUUUCGC